AUGUAGAGCAAUGGAUAGCACGUUGGACUUCUAAUUCAAAAGUAGUGGAUUCGAAUCCUACCUGGUAUG